UGCCCAGCAACUCCUAUCCCUACCUCCUCGUGGUACUGGCCGGGGUACGAGUAACCUUAGGGAAGAUCUGGUAACCAACCCCAGUGGGAACUUUGGUCGUAUGCUGACAGGGAAGG
rnacentral:ribozyme from 1 species